UUAAGAUUGUAUAACAUAGGAUUAGAUUAAUUAUAAAUAAAGCAGUCCUCCUUAGAGGGGGGGUGGUGGAGGGAAUAUUUAAGAAAUAAAAAUAGGAUCAGUUAACAUAAGGUAAAGAUAAGAUUGUACAACAUAGGAUUAGAUUAAUUAUAAAUAAAGUAGUCCUCCUUAGAGGGGGGGUGGUGGAGGGAAUAUUUAAGAAAUAAAAAUAGGAUCAGUUAACAUAAGGUAAAGAUAAGAUUGUAUAACAUAGGAUUAGAUUAAUUGUAAAUAAAGCAGUCCUCCUUAGAGGGGGGGUGGUGGAGGGAAUAUUUAAGAAAUAAAAAUAGGAUCAGUUAACAUAAGGUAAAGAUAAGAUUGUAUAACAUAGGAUUAGAUUAAUUAUAAAUAAAGCAGUCCUCCUUAGAGGGGGGGUGGUGGAGGGAAUAUUUAAGAAAUAAAAAUAGGAUCAGUUAACAUAAGGUUAAGAUUAGAUUGUAUAACAUAGGGCUACAGUGAAGAAAUCAAAAAUUUCAAGGCAGCAUGAAGGUAACGCACAAUCAGGGAUGUGCAAUUUCUGAGGCAUGUAUUCAAAAAAAGUAUUUUAAUUGUGUUUUAUGAUUCAUAUUUGAGUUCAUGAAAUAAAAUGUUUUUUUCUACAGACUUUGA